rnacentral:rRNA from 1 species
GACGAACGCUGGCGGCGUGCUUAACACAUGCAAGUCGAACGGAAAGGCCCUGCUUUUGUGGUGUGCUCGAGUGGCGAACGGGUGAGUAACACGUGAGUAACCUGCCCUUGACUUUGGGAUAACUUCAGGAAACUGGGGCUAAUACCGGAUAGGAGCUCCUGCUGCAUGGUGGGGGUUGGAAAGUUUCGGCGGGUGGGGAUGGACUCGCGGCUUAUCAGCUUGUUGGUGGGGUAGUGGCUUACCAAGGCUUUGACGGGUAGCCGGCCUGAGAGGGUGACCGGCCACAUUGGGACUGAGAUACGGCCCAGACUCCUACGGGAGGCAGCAGUGGGGAAUAUUGCACAAUGGGCGGAAGCCUGAUGCAGCAACGCCGCGUGCGGGAUGACGGCCUUCGGGUUGUAAACCGCUUUCGCCUGUGACGAAGCGUGAGUGACGGUAAUGGGUAAAGAAGCACCGGCUAACUACGUG